GUUAAGUCACAUUUUCUUUCCAAAAGCAACGUAGAACAGUGCCCCUUGGGAAAGUCUGAGACUAGGGCCAGCAGCAGCCUAACUGGGUCCUCCCUGAGCCUAGAGGAGGUAACGUCCAGAAAAUAGGGGUUCUGCAAGAGGGCAGACCAGGCAGGAGAUGCUGUGGAGCCCACCCUCAAACAAAGGCCAGGCAGAUGCCUCUUAACCCGGGCUUGGUACAAAAGCAACUGACGCUCCCAGAUAAUAUUUCACUUUCACCCCCAGGGAAGAGUUAGCCCUUUAGAACUCAGCUCUAUUGCAGGGGGUCUUGUUCUGUUUACUUGGAACAAGUGGACAGUGUUCUGUGCUUUGUCAUCUUUGACCUCUCAGAGCUAUAGAUGGUCCCUGACUUAAAAUGGUUUGAUUUACUAUUUGUGGAACUUUACAGUGGUAUGAC
rnacentral:lncRNA from 1 species